UACAGAGGUCUCAAGCGUUGUUCGGAUUCAUUGGGCGUAAAGGGUGCGUAGGCGGCGCGGUAAGUCGGGUGUGAAAUCUUGGAGCUUAACUCCGAAACUGCAUUCGAUACUGCCGCGCUUGAGGACUGGAGAGGAGACUGGAAUUUACGGUGUAGCGGUGAAAUGCGUAGAUAUCGUAAGGAAGACCAGUGGCGAAGGCGGGUCUCUGGACAGUUCCUGACGCUGAGGCACGAAGGUCAGGGGAGCAAACAGG
rnacentral:rRNA from 1 species